CUCCAUCUCUACAAAAAAAUACAAAAAUUAGCCAGGUGUGGUGGCAGGCACCUGUAGUCCCAGCUACUUGAGAGACUGAAGUGGGCUACGCUUGAGCUUGGCCUACAGAGCAAGACCCUGUCUUAAAAAAAAAAGGAAGACGAUAUGCUUUUACAUAAACCUUUAUUUGCAUUUCUGCUUAUUUUCUUAGGAUUAAUUUCUAGAUGUAGAAUUUCCGAGUCAAAGGGUGAUGAACGUUUUAAAUGUUCUUUGCCACCUAGCCAAUAACAUUUCAGAAAAGCCCAACCAACUUUGUUCUUAAAAUUAAUAUAUGAGAAUGCCUAUUUCAUGGGAAAUGAAAAGAUUUUGAAAAUAUUGUAUAGUUAACAAAAAAAUCUUUAUUUUUUAAAAUUACAAAGCAACACCUAUCACCUGUCUGUUGCCAAAAUUCAAUCUUAAUAGAAGUGCAUGAUUAUUUCUUUAGAUGUUGGGAUGAAAGCUGGAUUAUCUUUUGGGACAUGCCCUCUACUUUGCAGGUUUCACAGGCUGUGGUAGAUGCUGUUGAGUCAGGAUCUGGGUACAGUCAGUGACAGUAGUAGGAUUUUUCAGUGUGUCUUUGUCAGCAAUAGUCAGUUGGUAGGUCUUCUCCCAUCCUCCCUUCUUAGUGGUCAUUAGUGCUGUUCUCUAAAUCUUUCUGGAUCUUUGACUUUCAGGCACAGAGUAGGAUUUCACUUCCUGGCCCCCUUGUCAUUGGGUGACUGGUGACUGGGCCAUGUGACCAGUUCAGGGCAAUAAGAUAUGAGUGGAGAUGCUGUGUGUCACCAUUAGAUCAAGCAUUUAAUUGCCAGUUCAAGCCUGUGCAGAACUUUCUUUCCCUCCACCAUAUGCCUGGCAAUGUAGGAAUUGGUGGCCACUUUCUCAGCCUGGGUUUUGGAGUGAGGAGUAAGGAGUGGUCCCACCCUCCAUCUCACCCCCCACUGACCUGAGAUGGAUAUGUAGUAGAGUGAGAAAGAUGCCGGGUUUUUUUUGCCAUUGAGAUUUUGGGAAUGGUUAUUACCUCAGCACAAGCCAGCCUGUUCUGACUGUUAUUCCUUCUCCUGUUUCCCUUCCUUCCAACAUAUGUGGCUAACACACCCCCAUCUAUCCUAUAGUCAUAAAGACUUUGCCAUGAGCCUGAUGGUUGAGAGUCAACAGAAAUAGACUUGAAGCUCAUAUAUUACAUAGCUGACACAAAAUGCUUAUUAUCUACACUUACCACUUAAUUUUAUAAACUAUAUAUGACAUUAAACAAAAAAUAACUACUUUUGUUUAUUCAGAAAGGUACAAAAGCAUUUAGACUGUUGGUUGCAGGACAGGAAGGCAGGGGGCAGGGAGUAGGUGAUGCUGGCCAGCUCACAGAGACUGAUGUCUCACCAGGCUGGGCUGUAGCUGGUCUAGUCUGUAGCUUUAAGCUUCCCAAAGUAGUACAAAAAGGCUUAGGCCUUUAUAACUUAAAAACCUGUCAAAAGAGGUUUCCUCCAUGUGCACAGAUAGGCAGGGUGUGUGUGUGUGUGUGUGUGUGUGUGUGAGAGAGAGAGAGAGAGAGAGAGAGAGAGAGAGAGAUUGUGAAGAAACUAUUUGCCAGUGGAAAAUAAUGCCCCCUUUUAAACAAGCUGAAAAUGUCUUGAUAUAAGGCAGUGUGGUCUUGCUCCGCUGUUUACAGAGGAAUCCUUUCAUGCAGCCAUGAUAUAUGGAGGCUUUAAACCAUUGAGAUCCUUUAUGCUAACAGACCAUUUGUCUUGGAUUUUCCUGGUUUCCAGAUUGUCUUCAAGGAGUACACCAUUGACUCUGAAAUUAGCUAUUGUGUGGACAGAUAUAUUAGAAGUCUCUAAAUUAUCAUGUUGCAGGAACUUGUCAUUCUAACACUUUAAUGGAGUCUAGCUCUGUGUCAGCCCUCCCUCUGUCCUGAGACUUUGUCACAUGGGUAAUUCAGAUGUCGGUGUCUCUGCCCCGCUUCCUUGUUUUUCAUUAGGAUCAACAUUUCCAACUCCUGUUUUCUAGUUAUCUUUCUUUUUGUUUCUGUGAUACUUUCAAACCUGGGAUUUUCCCUUAAGGGAAAAGUGGGUCUUUUGCUUGGGAAGCGUGCUUGUCUUCCCCAGUUGCACUCCAGAGCCUUUUCUUUAUUAGUGUGUUUUUAGGCUUUUGGGGAACUGAAACCUUUUGGUUGCUGAAUUGUGUGUGUCCCCUACCAUCACAGAAAAGAAAGAAUGUGUGUUCUUUCUCUUUUAAUGUCAGUUAAAGUCACGUUUAGAGAAUGCUUGAGGACUUCCCUGAAGGAUGCCUCAGGAUGGCACCAACCCACCAGAUGUAGGCACUCUGGGAUGAACAUCCUUCUCCUUCUGGAAGGCUUUCCUUCUAGCCCAGUGGCUCUAGUAGUUUAUCGUCUGCAUCAGAAUCACCAGGGUCGUUGUUAUUGUGCAGAUUCUUGGGUUAUACCCGAGACCCACUGAGUGUGAGCCUUUUAGGGCUGGGACCCAGGAAUCAGCAUUGUAACAGGCAACCCAGGUUUUGAAGCCCUGCCUCCUGGCAGAUCUCUCACUGUCUGCAGAGCAUCUCCUAAAUAAGCAUCUCACUUCACCUACAACAAAGCCACUGACUCCACUGUCUCCACAAGGCCUGGAGGGAAGGAAGGUGGCUCCCUCUCUCUUCUUCCAAAACUCUCCUUUGGAGCUGGGCCUGUUGUCCUCGAAUGAGAGGGACUUGCAGGAAAGCCAGUGAACAAGACUUAGGAAAUGCACAAGGAGUGAAACACAGAGAUGUCAGAGCCUCUUCUAGCCAGGGAUGGUGGAGAACCAUGUAGUUUUUUCAUGCAUUAGUCCUCAAAUAUUUAUUAUGUGCUUACCAUGUGCCAGAUACCACUCUAGGUGCAUUCUGUCCAACCUUGCAUUUCCCUUCUUUUUGUCAGAUACAAAAAAUGAAGCUGAAAUGUAAGUCCCAAAUGAUCACCAAAUAGGCAGGACCAGCAAAAUUAUUAGGAGAAUCAAGACAAAUUUCUGGCUUUUUCUGUGUGUGCUUCUGUGUGUUGUAUGUGUGCCUCUGUGUGCUUUUGUGUCACACGUACUCAUGUGAGUUAGAUUUUAUAAAAUAGCUUGUGUUUUCCAAGCGUAUGUAUAUACUUUAUUUAUUUUAUUAGUUCAUUCAAACAUUUGUUUAUUCAUUCAGUAAAAAGCCAUUCAUUCAUUCAUCUAAUAUCUAUAGUAGGUCUGCUGUGUGCCAGUCUAGUUAGUAGGUACUAGGGAUACAAUGAUGAGCCAGACCAAGUUCUUGCCCUCAUGGAGCUUCUAUUUCAGAGUAGAUGAUGCUCUCAUAUGCCUAUUGAAUACCUAGAUGUUGUUUUGUAAUUUCCUUUUCUGUAGGGAUCAUUGUUUCAACAGAUUGCCAAGUAGAGCCCAGGAGCCCUGCCCCCUGCUUUCCUCCUUCCUGGUUUCACAAUGUCCUUUUCAGCAAUGAUGCCUUUCCAGACAUUUCUUUACAUGUCUGAAAUAUUUAUACACAAAACUGGGGAAGAUGAAUUAAAAGUGUGAACUCUACAUGGCACUGAAGUCUAAAGAGGAAGUGAAGCUGUUCAGCUGAGGGUUUUGACUGGUUCCCAUUGGGAAACCCCUUUCAAGCAAAACCUUCAUGGAGCAACACACUUCAAAGAGGUUCCCAGUGAUGCCGUGUUUAAAACUUGUUAAUUGGACCUAAUUGCGAACAGCUGCUCAAUUUAGCCACUGUUUGGGUUGGCAUUCACCUACCAUAGAUCUAGGUCAUCUUUUUGUUACAUUACAUUCAUAUUGGUAUCGUAAUAUAUUUGUUAUAAUCUUAGAAUUUGUCACCAUCCAAAGGAUUAUGAGAUAAUAAAUAAAAACACGGAGACAACAUAUUUGUCAAGCCCUGAGGUCACUGCCAAGUACAAAAGCACUUGAGAGCAGAUGCCUAUUUGAUACACUGUGUGUAGUCAUGGCAUUUCACUCACACACGUGGGAAGGUUUCCAACAGCAACAAAAAAUCUGUGGUGUUUGCUGGAAGCACUGAAUGAUCUUUUAUUGUCCAUUUCUUCUUCGUUUAACUAUUGCCUUUUAAUGCCAUACAUCACAGAAACAAGGGGGAGACUAAUAAAUAGUAGUUUAUUAGGUGAAAUUGCUAUUGGAUCUAGUUUUAUACAAUAUUCAUGUUUCUUAAGAAUCACUUGGGGGAACAACUUGUUGGUUAAAUGUGAAGAGGUGAUUUGGAAAAUAUUUAACAAGUGAUAAGGCAUGAGCACUGAGCAAUUAGAAGGAAUACUGGCCGUAGUAACCGGCAUGGCCAUACUCAGGCAUACUUGUUGUGUAGCAACCAAAGUGUCUAUUACAAGCAAGUUAUCACUAAGGGUAACUAGAACAUGAUCCUGCUGGGAUUCAGUGUAGAACAUGCAUGGCAGAGUUAUAUUACUCUAGGAGUAAGAGAGCCAGGGUAUUCCUCCCAACUCCUGCCCAUCACUGGUUGAAGGCAGUCCUGCCAUGCAAGUGGCUAAGUGGGCUCUGGAGGUCUGGGGAUGCCUUUAUGCAAAGAAAUGCUGGUUUGGCAACUGGAAGUCAGACUACUGAGUACUGAAGUGAUGAGUGCCUAGGGGUAUGGGCGGACACCAGCAGUACCUGCUAUGGUGGUAGGGGGGCAUUUGAGGAUGUUGGUGGGGCUGAUCAUGAAAUAUUUCUCUCUCUGCAUUGGGCAUGUCAGGAGAAAUAGCCUCCCUGAGGUUAUUUGAAAUAAAUCGAUACUCAAAUUACAUCUUAUAAAUUAAAUGGGAUUGAGGGGGGAGCAUUUGAUGAAAAUGGUGAGGGUAUUGAGAACAGUGUAAGCAGUUAACACUAAUUUGUUCUUCUGUGUGAUAAGCGUGGCUUCUCCUUUUUCCAGAUGAGGACAUUGAGGAUCAGGGAUGUUGAAAUACUUGCCCAAGGAUGCACAAGUGGAAUGGUAAAGACAGGAUUUGAAUUCUCUUUUUCUCUCUCCCUCCCCCCUCCAACUUUUCUGUUUCAACAAAGAUUUGAAUACUUACUAUGUUCUGGGCACUAUUUUAAGCACCACAUAGCAAAGAAACAAUUUUGGUCCUUUUCGAUCCUGAUAAUCCCCCAUCCCUCCCUUAAACGUUUUUCCUUCCCCAGGUCCUUCCCUAACUUUUGUGGGGCCCUGCAAGUGUAAAAACGGAGGCUCAUAUACCAUACCUCAAUAUUUAAAAGUGAUAAAUCAAGCUGGCAAAGUGUUAAAUAAAAGAUGCUCCAUCCUCCUGCCUUGAUAAAGACACUUGUGCACAAGGGCUGCUGUGCACUGAGAAUCUGUGGGGUCUUGGAGCACCAGCAGGAAUGUGGUGGCUCAGAGGGUGUGAACACCUAGCCCAUGGCCUGUGGCCUGUCCCUCAUCUCUUCCCACCCUGGCAGUCCCACAUAAGGGAGCGGUACACAUAUGUGUGUGGACAUCCUAGCCUACACAUCCAAGCUGUAUCCCCACAAACAGCACCCCUUAACUUAGGGGUGUGUGCACUGGUGGUGUGACCUGCCUUGGAGAGAAACAGGCCUGGAGAAAGCUCUGGAAGUGGAAUUAAGAUCACUUGGACAGGGGAUUCAGGGUCUCUGGUACCCAAGACAUAGUCCAAAAGAGGAGAUGCAGGCUCCAGGCUCCAGGUGGGUACAUCUCUGUGCCCCUGAACUCUUCACCCCAUAGGAAAGGGCACAACCAGAGGAAUACUAGGGGCCCCCCUUUCCUGGGCCUAAGAAUAACCCUCCCCAUUCUAUUUUCUCUGCCAAAUCCCACUUUCACAUGUGGAUAUUUUUUUGAGAUGUGGCCUUCUGAGGACUUUUAUAAAGGAAAAUGUGGAAUUCAAACACUCUACUUGUUGAACAGAGAGCAGGUCCAUUGAGGUGGGCAGAUGGUAGGUGUCACCGGAAGUGGUGGAGUGGGACUGUGGAGAGACCUGCUGGGCUCUCUGGGGCUGCAUGGACUUCCCUGCAUUCAGCAGCCCUAGUCUACAGAGGGAGAAGCUAUGCUGUCCUGGCCCUCUGUCUUGAGACCUUGAUGGGUUCAUCCCAAACCUCAGGAAGUGGCUGCAGUUUAGCAGGAUCAGCUCUGCUUGCUGUUCACUUCUCCAGCCAUGAGGACGGCAGCUCUGGAUAGACGUCUAAAGCACACACGAAAGCAGUGCUUCCUUUACUGGGCCAGAUUCUCCUGGGGGAGCAGACAGAAGCCCUCCAACGUGAGCAGUACGUUCUCAUGCCAGUGUGCAUUUGCCUGUCUCCCUUGGGGAAGGUGACUGUUAUCUCCUGGGCACAGGUAGCUACCAAUAGGUGAGCCCCUCAGGAGAUCACUGGUAUAUCUAGGAUGGCAGUUAACUUCUUUAAUAGGACAGCCUCAUGACAGCUGGCAAGGAGCUGCGAUUGGAAGGAACUGGAAGUCACACCGAAGCUCAUUGAACAAGCAUGCCAUGAGUGCCAUGAUGAAGUGAAGGACUCUGGAGAAAGAUUUGAUCAAUUAUAGAAAAUAAUGAAGGUACAUUUUCUUUGCGUAACUAAAUAUAGGGUAAGUACAUUUUGAAUUUGCUAAAAUUGUCUUUGCUCUGCCUCUGCACACAUGUGGGCACCCGCGCACACGCACAAAUGGCACUUCUAGGAGUUCUUCCUUGCCACCACCUCCUCUCAAGAAUCAAUGCUCACGAAAGCAUUUGUGAGAAAUGUGGAGUUUACUGUGGAGUUUCAAAGGGAAGAUGAUGGAGGUUUCACUGUAACCCCCACAACAAACAGAUUCAUAUUCCGCUUUGAUACUGUGUUCAUCAUUUCCAAUAUGUAUGUUUUUCCUAGUUGAGUAUUUGAUAUCUUGGAAACCAGACUCUGUCUUGCUGUGUUGGUGUGUCAUAGUCUAAUUGGCAGCACGUUUCCUUUGGUAACAAUACAUAAGACAAUGGUGUGUCUUAUGUUGGUGACUUCUUAUAUUUGUUAAAAUCUUUUAAGUCUACUGCUUUGCAGUCCUUCCUCAACUGCAAGCAGAGGCUUCCCCACUGAGGAAAGUACAGUGUGGAGUCCGACCAUCACUCGCUAUCUCCACCAUUCACAAGCCAGGUAACCUUGGGCAAGUUACUGAAGGGUUCGGGGCUUUGUUUCCCCAGCUGUGCAAUGGGGAUAAUAUUACUAACUACUUCAUUGGACUGUAGUAAGAGUUGAAUGAGUUGAUUCAUAUAAAGAAAUUGGAACACUGUCAGGUGGCGGUGACUUCUAGAAAAAUAGUUGUUCUUACACGUGUUAUCUCUUUAGUCCCCUCCCACACAGGUGCUGCCUCCUUUUACCUGUUGCUUUUUCUUUCCUCCCUUAUUUUAUAAAUAAUACUUCAGUGACCACUGUUUGCUAUUUGAACACAACUUUGAGAUCUCUCUUCUCCUUCCCAAAUGGCUUACCUAAGUAUUUACUCCAAACAAAUAUGUUGUCUUUUAGAGAUACUCAGAUAAGUAAAGAUUGCUGUAUGUAGUAACAUAUUUUUAUCAUUAUUUCUGAUGCAUCUAUGGUAGAUGCAAGAGAUAGUAAGGUAUGAACUUGACUGGAGCCGAGCUAGGUUUUUGGGGAACAUUAGGAGAUGGGAUGGAAAAAAGAUAGGUUGGAGACAGAUGGCACUUGAAGAAUCUCCCCUUUGAAAUCUUCGGUAAAGUCUAUGAUGUGAUACCUCUCCAUACAUCUCUUAAGAGACUUUGUAUUUUGAUGAUAGCCUUGAAUGCUAGGGACAUCACACCAGCUAGCCCAUACAGGGUGGAGGGGACUUUCGCCCUCUUCAAUUCACUGUGUAUGGAUGGCAAUGUUUCUUCCCACAUAUGUGGCUGGCCCUAGGAGACAAGUCAGGCGAUGUGAGCUGUGGAUGUGAACUGAGAGAACAGUUGGGGCUUAGGUGAAAAGUGGAGAUUCAGGAACUCUUCAGAUAUAGUGGCGUUAGGGAAAGAUAGAUGUAUUAGACUAUUCUUACAUUGCUAUAAAGAAAUAUCUGAGACUGGGUAAUUUAUAAAGAAAAGAGGUUAAAUUGGCUCAUAGUUCUGCAGGCUAUACAGGAAGCAUAGUGCUGGCAUCUGCUCAGCUUCUGGUGAAACCUCAGGGAGCUUUUAAUCAUGGCGGAAGGGGAAUGGGGAACAGGCAUGCCACAAGUUGAAAGCAGGAGCAAGCAAGGGAGAUUGGGGAUGGGGGUAGGUGUUACAGACUUUUAAAUGAGCAGGUCUUAUAACAUCUCACUCACUAUUGUGAAGAUGGCACCAAGCCGUGAGGGAUCUGCCCCCAUGAUCCAAACACCUCCCACCAGGCCCCUCCUCCAGCAUUAGGGAUUACAAUUCAACAUGAGAUCUGGGUGGGGACACACAUCCAAACUAUAUCACUAGACACUAACAAAGAGACACCCGGUCCAUCUGGGUUCAAGGUGUGCCACAGGCCUGCAUGUCCUCCUAAGCUUUUCCAGACCCUUGGUGCCAGAGUUCAAAUGGCUGCAGUCCUGGCAUAUUCCUCAGUGAGACUGGACAAAAUAAUCCACUCCUGCAAAUGGAAAAUUUCUUCUGCGUAGGGUGAGCACUUCCAGCUCCAGAAAUGAAACAUGCUAAAGGCAGAGUGUGACUUGGCAUGGGGUGACCGGUUUCCCAACUGAUCGGUCCUCCACCCUGUUAGUUCAUUUUGCUGACGAUCUUGUCCAUAAGAGCAAAGAACUUUCUAGCUGGUCACCUUUGCAACAAAGUAAGAGUUUUUGAAAGAGGAUUUUAAAAAAUUCUUUUUUGGUUUAUUUUGGGUUUAAUGAGUCAACACUUUAUUUUACUAUGAGUGUUUAUAACCAAACCUAAAUGUAUGUAGGAUCUUGAACUUCCCCCACAACUAUUUCCUAUUUGUUCCCAGAAAAAUUCCAAUGCCAGAUUUUGCCAUAGCAACCAGAGGCAAAUAUCAAGACAGCAAUAAAGAGCAAGCUGGAAAAGGGUUUCCCUACAAUGUGGCUUGAGUUUCUGUAGGGCAUUCCAUCCUCCGUGCGGAGCCCUGGAAGGCAAGAGGGGGCCCUGCGGUUCCUCGUGGGGGGUCUGGUAGAGUCCAGCUUUACCAGCAUCCAGGACCCACUAGGAAAUGUGUCUUUCAGGCAGCUGGGCUAGGGGCGGAAAGAUCAGCUUGCCUGCUCCUCGGGCUUGGCACCUGUUGUGUGUUGAUCUUUAUUUUUGUAUGUCAAUUUUUCAAAAUUAAAUGUAUUGAGUUAUUAUUUUUUCAUUAUGCUUUUCCUCUGAGCAGUUUAGUAAACAAGCCUGUUGUGUAUUUCCUAAUUGUCCCCUCAAGUGCUCUUUGGAAGAAGGCAGUGCAUAUAUAUAAGUAAGCAAAUGGAACCAAAGAACAGGAGACUCUUCCAAUACCUGCCCACGAUGUCCCUCAUUCUGUGUCCUUCCUUUUUGUCAUGGUUGUUGUGGUAAUGUUAGGAAUUCCCACUUCUUGCCCAUAGGUAAAGUCAUCUCACUACAUGAUAGCCUUCUUGCUGAAAGAACUUUGGGCUUCCGAGUUACUUCAGAAGUUUGGAUUAGCGAUGUGUUGUUAAAUGUUGAAUAACUUGCUCGCAGACAUAAAAUUGCUUUGAUUUGUAGAGCUGAUUUGCUGAUUUCUGUGGUGUAAAUCCUCCCACCAUGGCAGAUUUCUUCUUGCCAGAGUGACCUCAUGAACGUGGAACUGGAAGGAGAUGAACACAUUUAACUCUCAUGCACCGGUAAGAGCUGGCUGCCCCACACCGCUGGUUCUGUGGACUUAGGCCUGGUUUCUCAACUUCAGCACUAUUGACAUUUUGGGCAGAAUGGUUGUUGGUUAUUGGUGGCUGUCCUGUGUAUUGUAGGAUGUUUAGCAGCACCUGUGGUUUCUACUCACUAGAUGCCAGGAGCAACCCCUUCCCACUAAGUUGUAACAACCAAAAUUGUCUCCAGAUUUUGCUAGAUGUCUCCUGAGGGGCAAAAUCUCCCUUAGUUCUGGGCUAUUCUGCAUUGGUAGUGCUUAGAAGGUCCAUUCAGCAGGCAGUAGGCCUCCAUUGGUAGCUUUUCCAUGAACCACUCUGAAUAUGCACCCAAACAGGUUCUCUCUUGGCAUUUUGGAUGUGGUGCAUUGGUCUGUUCUCAUGCUGCUAAUAAAGACAUACCCGAGACUGGAUAAUUUAUAAAGAAAAGAGAUUUAAUGGACUCACAGUUCCACA